rnacentral:rRNA from 1 species
AUUGAACGCUGGCGGCAGGAUUAACACAUGCAAGUCGAACGAGUGGCGGACGGGUGAGUAAUGCUUGGGAAUCUAGCUUAUGGAGGGGGAUAACUACGGGAAACUGUAGCUAAUACCGCGUACCAUAGGAGGGGGCCACGUGGGAUGAGGUAGUUGGUGAGGUAAAGGCUCACAAAGCCGACGGUCUCUAGCUGGUCUGAGAGGAGGCGCAGCCACACGGGGACGGAGACCCGGCCCAUACGCCUACGGGAGGCAGCAGUGGGGAAUAUUGCGCAAGUGGGGCAACCUGACGCAGCCAUGCCGCGUGAAUGAAGAAGGCCUUCGGGGUGUAAAGUUCUUUCUGUAGCGAGGCGUUAACUACAGAAGAAGCACCGGCUAACUCCGUGCCAGCAGCCGCGGUAAUUC